rnacentral:lncRNA from 1 species
CGUAGUAGUCACCGACUUGGUACAUGGACUAGAGAAACGAUUGGCUGGUUCAGUGGAUGUUCUCUUGUUCAACCCUCCUUAUGUUCCCACUCCUGAGCACGAGGUAUGCUGGUCAAUAGGAUCCACGUUGCAUUUAUUGCAUAAAUAUUUUAGGUUACCUAAGUAAAUUUGUUUUCACUGGUGGUAAAGGUCAUGUUGCUUCUGUUUCAUCUUUUGGCGGCGUUGCCAUUUCCUAGCAUCAUGUUAUUGGAGAUUUACUCUUAUCCGCAAUUGUCUUCUUGUAUCAGGUGGGUGCGGCAGGCAUAACUGCUACUUGGGCUGGUGGUGAUAGGGGCAGAGUUGUAAUUGACCGUAUGCUGACAAUGGUAGACAGUCUAUUAUCGAGUAAGGGUUGGUUCUAUAUGGUUACCUUGACAGCAAACAAUCCAAGCGAGAUUUGUCAGAUUAUGAAAAAGAAGGGCUUUGCAUCACGAAUUGUUAUUCAGGUAAUUUUGAUGGCAUCCUGACCUACUCGCAGUACGGGUUGGCCCAUAUUCUUGUUUCUAAAUAUGAACAGUGACGUAAGAUAAUUGUGUGUGUGUGUGUGUGUGUUUGCGCGUGCGUGCGUGCGUAUAUAUAUAAAUAAAUCUCAGUUUGUAGCGUUAGAAACUACUGUGAGCAGAGAUUACUUAGUUGUUAAAUGCACUUAUUAAGUUCCAAAUUGGAUCAAUUUGCAGCGAUUCUUUUAGCAUCGCACUUAUAGUAAAUACUAAGACCAUUGUAUGCUUAAUAUUCCUAUGAGUGCAGCGUUAUACAGAGGAAGAGAACUUACAUGUACUGAAGUUCUGGAGAGAAGACCUUGCUUUUGAUUAUGAUUACAACGCCGAAACAGGGGGUGGUGGUACUACACCUCAAUCGUCACUUUCCUCAAAAAUGUCUCGCCUUGCAUUCUGGAGAUAAUUUCUUUUGGUAGUUAGUCUGG